rnacentral:rRNA from 1 species
UACGUAGGGUGCAAGCGUUGCCCGGAUUUAUUGGGCGUAAAGGGCGCGCAGGCGGCUACGCACGUCCGUUGUGAAAUCGCUCGGCUCAACUGGGCGGGGUCAGCGGAUACGGCGUAGCUGGAGCAAGCUAGGGGGCAAUGGAAUUCCCGGUGUAGUGGUGGAAUGCGUAGAGAUCAGGAAGAACACCCAUGGCGAAGGCAGCUCUCUGGGCCGGUACUGACGCUGAGACGCGAAAGCGCGGGAGCGAACGGG